rnacentral:rRNA from 1 species
UACGUAGGUGGCAAGCGUUGUCCGGAAUUAUUGGGCGUAAAGCGCGCGCAGGCGGUUCUUUAAGUCUGAUGUGAAAGCCCACGGCUCAACCGUGGAGGGUCAUUGGAAACUGGAGAACUUGAGUACAGAAGAGGAAAGCGGAAUUCCACGUGUAGCGGUGAAAUGCGUAGAGAUGUGGAGGAACACCAGUGGCGAAGGCGGCUUUCUGGCCCGUUCUUGACGCUGAGGCGCGAAAGCUAGGGUAGCAAACGGG